rnacentral:tRNA from 1 species
GCGCCCGUUGCAGCGCAGCUCAGCCUUCCGCGCUCUGGCAAGCGGGCUCGAGUCGAUUCCGGGUCGGUCUACGGAACCGAAGGUCACAGGUUCGAAUCCUGUCGGGCGCG